ACGUGCGUGGCUGGAGAAGGCUCUUUUGCUCCUCAGGCGCUCGCCCCGAAUUCCGCUUUUGGUUGAGCCCGAACCAAGGCGGAAAGACGUUUCGGUAAAAGACGUGUCCAGCGCUGCUCCUGAUUCUUUUUUUUUUUUAAAUGAGCAUUUUUCUCCAGAGAAUGCUGCUUGCUAGGAAAUAGGACCAAGGGUAGCGCCUCGGUAGUUAAACGGCCGUAUGUGACUGGUGCUUGGUGAACAGAUUUUGUUUAAGCAUCGUAUGUGGAAUAAGUUUCAAAGGCUGCGUUUCCACCUGUUGAAGUACAGAAUAUGGGUUACGGACUGCUUGACUCGAUUCUACCAAAACUACUUUUCACACAGAGAUGGGACGCUGCAUUCCCAUCUCCAAGGAUGAUAUUCCUCAGGACGAGAACUACCACAGAGAAGGCCCUUCUUCUUGGUACCACUAGAUUGACCUCCUUGGAAGAGAAGACCCAAAACAUCCCUUUCUUUUGGCUCUGGAACAUGUUGAAAAGUUUCUGGACAGACUGAUAUUAGAUGAAGUUUUUAUUAUGCAGUCAUGCUUGCCUCAUUUAUGGAAUGGUGUGAAGGAUCCAAAUGGCAUCUUCCACUUGUAAACUGUGUUAGUUUAUGGAUGCUUUCAGAUGAGUCAUUUACUUGGAUUCCCUUUGCUUGACAGAAUUUUAUUUGGCUGCUAGCAAAGUGGGAGGAUGCAAAUGCUGGUGUCUUUCAUUUAUAAGCUCCAGUGUUUUCCCAUUACAUCUUUAAUUAUUUUCUUUACCAGAAGUAAGAAAAAAAUGAGAAAUUGAUGGAGAAAAAACACACAAUUCAAUAUUUUAUACUUGGUUGUAGAAGCUUAGAACUCUAAAAUCAGCUCCAAUCUCCCAGCAUCCUCUUCUUUCAUUAUUCUAAACUUAUCAAAAUGUUUCCUUUCCAUAACAAUUUUCUUCUUUAUACCCUUUGAGAGGAAAGACCAUUAAAUAUGGCUCAAUGAAAGUUCUCAUCAGCAUUGUUCCAGGAUUAAACAAGGAGAUUAAUAUUUUAGUUUAAUUAAAAUGUAGAGUGUAGAAAAUUGCAAUGUCAGGAUUGCCAAAUACCAUGUAAAUAUUGCUGUGUGUUUUCUGACUUAAAUUCAGCUUCUCCAUGCACAUAAUUUCAAUGGAUCACAAGCAGACUGGAAUUACAAAAUAAAUUUCUCCUUCCCAAAAUACCAA